rnacentral:misc_RNA from 1 species
GAUGAAGAACGUAGCGAAAUGCGAUAAGUAAUGUGAAUUGCAGAAUUCAGUGAAUCAUCGAAUCUUUGAACGCACAUUGCGCCCAUUAGUAUUCUAGUGGGCAUGCCUGUUCGAGCGUCAUUUCAACACUUAAGCCUAGCUUAGUAUUGGGAAUCGACUUUACUGUCGUUCCUCAAAUUCAACGGCGGAUUUAUAGCAAUCUCUGAACGUAGUAAUUUUUUUUCUCGUUUUUGAAAUACUAUAAACCUCAGCCGCUAAACCCCCAAUUUCUUAUGGUUGACCUCGGAUCAGGUAGGAAUACCCGCUGAACUUAAGCAUAUCAAUAAGCGGAGGA